CGGGCUGUGGUAUAACGGUAUUACACAUGGCUGGGGGUCAUGUAACCCGGGUCCAACUCCCGGCAGCCCGACUA
rnacentral:tRNA from 3 species